CUUGUUUUAUCAUAAUCCUCUGUUCAUCCUCAGCAACCUCUAGGAGAUUGCCAGGUUAUAGAUGCAAUGACUAUAAAUUUCGAGAAGAAUCGUGUUCACCACGUAGAUCCCUCUACCUUAGAGAUUUUGAGGAACCAAUCCAAGCACCAGAUUCAAUAUCGCCACCUGAUCGUGGAUCAUGAACAGAAUAUUAAUUGAGUAACAACAAAAAUUAUAUUGAGCAAGAACUUAAUAUUAUAUUUAUGUUUAAUUAAAUAUGGUGUUGGAGUUGGACAAUUGUAUGUUUGGAAUUUGGAUACUCUAGAAUUGCUUAGUCCAUGAUAGAUCUUCAAUGGAGUUAAGCUAGUAAUAAAUACUCCCAAUACUUAUGUUAAUUAAGUUGAAUUAUGCUUGCACUAUGUAAUUAAUAAGGAAUUAAUACUUAUGUUAAUUAAGGGA